rnacentral:rRNA from 1 species
AGCGAACGCUAGCGGCGGGCCUAACACAUGCAAGUCGAGCGCAUACCUUCGGGUAUGAGCGGCGGACGGGUGAGUAACGCGUAGGUCAUCUACCCUUUGGUGGGGGAUAACCCAGGGAAACUUGGGCUAAUACCGCACGAGGUCUACGGAUCAAAGCCUUCGGGCGCCAGAGGAUGAGCCUGCGUCGCAUUACCUAGUUGGCGGGGUAACGGCCCACCAAGGGGACGAUGCGUAGCUGGUCUGAGAGGAUGAUCAGCCACACUGGGACUGAGACACGGCCCAGACUCCUACGGGAGGCAGCAGUGGGGAAUAUUGCGCAAUGGGGGAAACCCUGACGCAGCCACGCCGCGUGGGUGAUGAAGGCCUUCGGGUUGUAGAGCCCUGUCGGGAGGGACGAAUUCUUGACGGUACCUCCAAAGAAAGCACCGGCUAACUCCGUGCCAGCAGCCGCGGUAAU